AGUGAACGCUGGCGGUAUGCCUAACACAUGCAAGUCGAACGGAAGCACAGUAAGCGCUUGCUCUUACGGGUGGCGACUGGCGGGCGGGUGAGGAAUAGAUCGGAAUCUACUUUUUCUGGGGGGAUUACGUGGGAACACUUACACUAACACCGCAUACAAUCUACGGGAGAAAGCAGUAGAUCUUCAGACCUUUCGCGAUUGAAUGAGCCGAUGCCGGAUUAGCUAGUUGGCGGGGUAAAGGCCCACCAAGGCGACGAUCCGUAGCUGAUCUGAGAGGAUGAUCGGCCACACUGGAACUGAGACACGGUCCAGACUCCUACGGGAGGCAGCAGUAGGGAAUAUUGGGCAAAGGGCGCAAGCCUGAUCCAGCCAUACCGCGUGGGUGAAGAAGGCCUUCGGGUUGUAAAGCCCUUUUGUUAGGGAAGAAAAACAGCAUGUUAAUCCCCCGCUGUUCUGACGGUACCUAAAGAAUAAGCACCGGCUAACUUCGUG
rnacentral:rRNA from 1 species